GACAGCUAGGGAAGAUGGCCCAGGCUGGGGAAGUCGCUCUCACGCCUUGCUGCCCCCUCCCCUGAGCCAGGUGAUUUGGGAGACCCCCUCCUUCCUUUUUUCCCUACCGCCCUACACGCGACCCGGGGAUGGCUCCGUGGCCUCACGAGAACAGCUCUCUUGCCCCAUGGCCGGACCUCCCCACCCUGGCGCCCAAUACCGCCAACACCAGUGGGCUGCCAGGGGUGCCCUGGGCGGCGGCCCUGGCCGGGGCGCUGCUGGCGCUGGCGGUGCUGGCCACCGUGGGAGGCAACCUGCUGGUCAUCGUGGCCAUCGCCCGGACUCCGAGACUCCAGACCAUGACCAACGUGUUCGUGACUUCGCUGGCCGCAGCCGACCUGGUGAUGGGACUCCUGGUGGUGCCGCCAGCGGCCACCUUGGCGCUGACUGGCCACUGGCCGUUGGGCGCCACUGGCUGCGAGCUGUGGACCUCGGUGGACGUGCUGUGUGUGACCGCCAGCAUCGAAACCCUGUGCGCCCUGGCCGUGGACCGCUACCUGGCUGUGACCAACCCGCUGCGUUACGGCGCACUGGUCACCAAGCGCCGCGCCCGGACAGCCGUGGUCCUAGUGUGGGUCGUGUCGGCCGCGGUGUCAUUUGCGCCCAUCAUGAGCCAGUGGUGGCGCGUAGGGGCCGACGCCGAGGCGCAGCGCUGCCACUCCAACCCGCGCUGCUGUGCCUUCGCCUCCAACAUGCCCUACGUGCUGCUGUCCUCCUCCGUCUCCUUCUACCUUCCUCUUCUCGUGAUGCUCUUCGUCUACGCGCGGGUUUUCGUGGUGGCUACGCGCCAGCUGCGCUUGCUGCGCGGGGAGCUGGGCCGCUUUCCGCCCGAGGAGUCUCCGCCGGCGCCGUUGCGCUCUCUGGCCCCGGCCCCGGUGGGGACUUGCGCUCUGCCCGAAGGGGUGCCCGCCUGCGGCCGGCGGCCCGCGCGCCUCCUGCCUCUCCGGGAACACCGGGCCCUGUGCACCUUGGGUCUCAUCAUGGGCACCUUCACUCUCUGCUGGUUGCCCUUCUUUCUGGCCAACGUGCUGCGCGCCCUGGGGGGCCCCUCUCUAGUCCCGGGCCAGGCUUUCCUUGCCCUGAACUGGCUAGGUUAUGCCAAUUCUGCCUUCAACCCGCUCAUCUACUGCCGCAGCCCGGACUUUCGCAGCGCCUUCCGCCGUCUUCUGUGCCGCUGCGGCCGUCGCCUGCCUCCCGAGCCCUGCGCCGCCGCCCGCCCGGCCCUCUUCCCCUCGGGCGCUCCUGCUGCCCGGACCAGCCCCACGCAGCCCAGGCUUUGCCAACGGCUCGACGGGUAGGUAACCGAGGCAGAGGGACCGGCGGCUCAGGGUCGGGAAGCAUGCGAUGUCUCCGUGGGUCAAAUUUUUGAGUGUGGAGUUUACUAGGAGAAGGUGGGAUGGCUUUGCUUGGAGAGAAAAGGGAAUGAGGAGUAGCGAACCAAAAUGGGACCCAGGGUCCUUUUCUUUCCGGAUCCAGUCACUAGGGUAGAAGCAAAGGAGGGCGAGCGGGCCGUCGUUCCUCACCCAAGGACUCAAGGUGCGCCACCGGAAAGCGCUGCGGUGUCCCGAGGACUCUUGCCCCGCCU
rnacentral:sRNA from 1 species